UACGUAGGUGGCAAGCGUUGUCCGGAUUUAUUGGGUUUAAAGGGUGCGUAGGCGGUCUUUUAAGUCAGUGGUGAAAUCCUGCAGCUCAACUGUAGAAUUGCCAUUGAUACUGAAAGACUUGAGUACAGACGAGGUAGGCGGAAUUUAUGGUGUAGCGGUGAAAUGCAUAGAUACCAUAAAGAACACCUAUUGCGAAGGCAGCUUACUAGGCUGUAACUGACGCUGAGGCACGAAAGUGUGGGGAUCAAACAGG
rnacentral:rRNA from 1 species